rnacentral:ncRNA from 2 species
GUCUGAAACCGCGGGAGCUCGGGGAACCGGGCUGAGAGGGCGGCCGCCGGGCGCCGCCGACCGCUAUCCACCUGACCUGGGUAAUGCCAGCGUAGGGAGGCCCUCAUGAAGACCU